GACGAACGCUGGCGGCGUGCUUAACACAUGCAAGUCGAACGGUGAAAGCGGAGCUUGCUCCGCUGGAUCAGUGGCGAACGGGUGAGUAACACGUGGGCAACCUGCCCCUCACUUCGGGAUAACUCCGGGAAACCGGGGCUAAUACCGGAUAUGACCUCCUUGGGCAUCCUUGGAGGUGGAAAGUUUUUCGGUGAGGGAUGGGCCCGCGGCCUAUCAGCUUGUUGGUGAGGUAGUGGCUCACCAAGGCGACGACGGGUAGCCGGCCUGAGAGGGAGACCGGCCACACUGGGACUGGGACACGGCCCAGACUCCUACGGGAGGCAGCAGUGGGGAAUAUUGCGCAAUGGGCGAAAGCCUGACGCAGCAACGCCGCGUGCGGGAUGACGGCCUUCGGGUUGUAAACCGCUUUCAGCAGGGAAGAAGCCGCAAGGUGACGGUACCUGCAGAAGAAGCACCGGCUAACUACGUGCCAGCAGCCGCGGUAA
rnacentral:rRNA from 1 species